UCCUUCGGUAGGCAGCAGUAGGGAAUAUUGGGCAAUGGCCGAGAGGCUGACCCAGCCAUGCCGCGUGCAGGAAGAAGGCCUUCUGGGUUGUAAACUGCUUUUACCAGGGAAGAAAACGCUCCUGCGAGGGUAACUGACGGUACCUGGUGAAUAAGCACCGGCUAACUCCGUGCCAGCAGCCGCGGUAAUACGGAGGGUGCAAGCGUUGUCCGGAUUUAUUGGGUUUAAAGGGUGCGUAGGCGGCCCGUUAAGUCAGCGGUGAAAUCCCAGGGCUCAACCCUGGAACUGCCGUUGAUACUGGCGGGCUUGAGUUCGGUCGAGGCGGGCGGAACUGGUGGUGUAGCGGUGAAAUGCAUAGAUACCACCAAGAACCCCGAUUGCGAAGGCAGCUCGCUGGGCCGAAACUGACGCUGAGGCACGAAAGCGUGGGGAGCGAACAGGAUUAGAUACCCUGGUAGUCCACGCCGUAAACGAUGAUUACUCGAUGUUUGCGAUACACGGCAAGCGUCCAAGCGAAAGCGUAAGUAAUCCAGCCUU
rnacentral:rRNA from 1 species